UGAAAUAGUGUCAUCAGAACCCCUUAUCCCUGCUGUGUGUUGAGUUUUAUAUUUAAUAGAGAUGGCCAGAUUGCUGCCACACAGCCUGACCAAUGCUGUCCUGCUUAAACUUGGGUUUCAAACCUGCAAAAAGCAAGCCUGCCCUAUUCCUCUGCUUUCUACUCAGUGUGGUUACACAAGCUAACCAGCUCCCUGAACCUCUCUGCAACAAGGCAUUCAAGCUUCUGACAGUCUUCCGGACCUCUCCACUGAACUCUCAACAGUUAAUCUCUCUUACACUGGAAAACAACUCCAGAGUUAGUUUCCCAAGUGCCACAUGGAUGGGAGAAAUCACAUCUCUCAGCUGCUACCUAAAACUUUGCUAAUACAAUCUCAUAUGCAGACUUCAUUGCUCUAAGGCUAUGCUGCUGAUUGCCAUGUAGUGCGACUCCCUUUACGUUACUGGCAUAGCUUUACUCCAGUCAGAUGGACCCUGGUUUGUACUAUCACAAAGGAUUACUCCAUCAGCACAAAAACAACUUCAACUUCACAUAUGUAACAUGAGGAAAUGCACAGCAAUAACAGCAGAAGAGCAAGGUCCUAGGCUGCUGCAAAUAAGAAUUUGCUCAAAUACAACAGCCAUAGGCUCCGAAAUAAAAGAAAGUAUUUCAAAGACA